UGAUCUUUUCCCUUUCCUCCAUGUCUCUCUGUCGUUUUUCCUGAUCCACAAAAACAAGAACUCACUUGAUUAAUAAUAAAUGUUAAACAUCUCAUAAUGAAAAACUAUGUUGAAUUUAUAUGAUCCGCAUCUCUAGCUUCCUUUGAUGACUUAUCAUAUCAGACCUCAUGUUUCUCUGGCUCUUAACUUCUUUUGGAGCAGACAUAAACUUUCUCCAUUCCCGCAUUUUUCAGCCCCACAGAGUUCUUAUGAAGUUGAGUUUUCUCGAUAGCAAAUAAUUGUUUGAUGGCCUGACUUUUAGCUCGACCUCAGGUUGGAAAUCCCCAUCUCCUGUGAUGAGCACCGUGUUUUUGAGCCUGACUUUUUUAAGCCAACAUUGUAUCAGAGCUUUUAUUUGUUUAUCUGCUGUUUGGUCUCUUU
rnacentral:lncRNA from 1 species